GUCUCAAAAAACCAAAAUAUCCUGUUCAGUGAAUACCAAGAAACCGACAGGAGUAGAACAAAAGUUAACAUACCAAGGCCUUUUGCUGAAGAAGGAGGCAUGAGAGGAGCAGUGCAUUACAGUCAAAACUCCACCCUCAGCAAAAAGAACAGAGGAACAAAAACAGCAAGCCGAGCUCAUGGACAUCUCCUGCAUUUGAGGCAAUUGAAGCCGAAGCUGCUGCUUUGCCCCUCACCAUGCUCCUGCUGUCUUCAGCAGAGCCCUGCAGAGCUGGGUCAUUGGGUCCUAUGAGAUCAACCCUUCCUGGAAAAGUGGUGGGUGCAGCCCCAGCGCUGUCAAUGCUGCCUUGCACUGGGAGAGUGCAUUUGUGGAGUGUGAAAGCCAGUACAAAUCAUAAAGAGCUGGAGGAGGCAGGAAGGAAUACAGGUAAAAAAAUACAACACCUGUAAGGUAAGCCUGAGAAAAGUUAUGGUUAUUUACUCAAAGCAAGACUAAAGGAACAUGUGAUAAGCAUUUCCAAACACAGCAGUAUAGUGUGCUGAUCAUAAUGUCGGUUCAGAUGCAGCAAGGAUUGGAACAAGGCAGGUUUAGGUCAGAGAUUCCCCAUUGGUUUCCAGCUGCCAGGAGAGUCACACUACUGAGUGGAGUGCCAGGGGAGAUGCUCCAGAAUUUGCUUAUGGAGGUCUGGGGAGGCUGGUAAGUAAAGCACUGUCAGUCAGGAAUGGUUUGUAUGCAAAUUCUACUGCCUUGGUUCUUCGGGAUGGACUAACAGACAUAUUGAGUCCAUUCCAGCCCUGUUUGCUGAGAUUUCCACAUUGUAUAAACUCAAGUGUAGGUCUGACCUAGCUGGAAUGUUUUUGCCAUUAAGUGAAACAAAAGGCUUACAGAUGUGAAUGGCAAAUUACGUACUGCAAAUUAAAGCUUUAAGAAAUUAAGCAUGGCCUUUUCACAUUGUAUUUAUACUUUUUGAAAGUUAUUUUAGUUCACUGCAUAUAAAUAACAAGUUGAGAAUUGCUGUUCUUAAUUGAAACCAUCUCUACU